GGGUUCGUGGCUCAGUUGGUAGAGCGUCCCGGUCACAUCGGGAAGGUCGGGGGUUCAAAUCCCUCCGAACCCACCA
rnacentral:tRNA from 1 species